rnacentral:piRNA from 1 species
UAAUUGGAUUUUCUGAUCAAUUAGCAGGAG